AUUGAACGCUGGCGGCAGGCCUAACACAUGCAAGUCGAACGGUAACAGGAAGCAGCUUGCUGCUUUGCUGACGAGUGGCGGACGGGUGAGUAAUGUCUGGGAAACUGCCUGAUGGAGGGGGAUAACUACUGGAAACGGUAGCUAAUACCGCAUAACGUCGCAAGACCAAAGAGGGGGACCUUCGGGCCUCUUGCCAUCGGAUGUGCCCAGAUGGGAUUAGCUAGUAGGUGGGGUAACGGCUCACCUAGGCGACGAUCCCUAGCUGGUCUGAGAGGAUGACCAGCCACACUGGAACUGAGACACGGUCCAGACUCCUACGGGAGGCAGCAGUGGGGAAUAUUGCACGAUGGGCGCAAGCCUGAUGCAGCCAUGCCGCGUGUAUGAAGAAGGCCUUCUGGUUGUAAAGUACUUUCAGCGGGGAGGAAGGGAGUAAAGUUAAUACCUUUGCUCAUUGACGUUACCCGCAGAAGAAGCACCGGCUAACUCCGUG
rnacentral:rRNA from 1 species